rnacentral:rRNA from 1 species
AUUGAACGCUGGCGGCAGGCCUAACACAUGCAAGUCGAGCGGAGCGGCGGACGGGUGAGUAAUGCCUAGGAAUUGGCCUGGUAGUGGGGGAGAACGUCCGGAAACGGGAGCUAAUACCGCAUACUAUUAGAUGAGCAUAGGUCGGAAUAGCUAGUUGGUGGGGUAAGGGCCUACCAAGGCGACGGUCCGUAACUGGUCUGAGAGGAGGAUCAGUCACACUGGAACUGGGACACGGUCCAGACUCCUACGGGAGGCAGCAGUGGGGAAUAUUGGACAAUGGGCGAAAGCCUGAUCCAGCCAUGCCGCGUGUGUGAAGAAGGUCUUCGGAUUGUAAAGGACUUUAAGUUGGGAGGCGUUACCAUCAGAAUAAGCACCGGCUAACUUCGUGCCAGCAGCCGCGGUAAUUC